rnacentral:rRNA from 1 species
UACGUAGGGUGCGAGCGUUGUCCGGAAUUAUUGGGCGUAAAGAGCUCGUAGGCGGUCUGUCGCGUCUGCUGUGAAAUCCCGAGGCUCAACCUCGGGCCUGCAGUGGGUACGGGCAGACUAGAGUGCGGUAGGGGAGGUUGGAAUUCCUGGUGUAGCGGUGGAAUGCGCAGAUAUCAGGAGGAACACCGAUGGCAAAGGCAGAUCUCUGGGCCGUAACUGACGCUGAGGAGCGAAAGCGUGGGGAGCGAACAGG